rnacentral:misc_RNA from 1 species
CGCGAAUAUAAAGAUCCUCAAAGGGAAGCAAACCCAUACAGAUUGUGUUUAUAAAACGUGAAGGAGCAUCAUAACAAACUGUCAAAUUGUGAGAAUAUUCAUAAAGUCUUUCUUAUUCUUUUCAAUCCUCAGAAGGGGAAUACAAAUACUACUCUCCAGGAAAAACACUUCUCAGAAAUGGUCAGCUACACGGAGACGAUAGACACUUCAUGAGAAAUUCAUUCUUCUUCCUCCGCCUCCUCCAGCCAUUUCACAAAGGGCUCCAGCGACUUCACAAAGUUUUGCCUGCCCUUGAGGUUUGUUCCUUUCUGGAACCAGUGAAGAAUGGUAUCUUCUGCCAGAACAUCUUGGUCAUACAGAGACCUCACAAUCUCAGGGAACAGCUUCAUCAGUUUAGCAUCCUCGUAGCACUGGACUUGGACUUUGUACAUGAGUUCCAAUUCAAGCUUUCCAGUGGUGCAGAAAGUAUUCAGCAGUUCUGCCCAUUUUUUCACCUGGCGAAGAGCAGAAUUAGCAUUUUGCUGUUGGUUCUUUCCUGACCAUUGUAUGGCAUCCAUCAAGACAUCCCACAAAAUCCGUACAACCUCUAUAUCUGGUAAUUUGGCAUCUUUGACAUGUUGCUUCACAGUUUCUAUGACUUCAGAGAUAGCAACUUCUUCUGCUAGCUGAGUUGUUAAUGUAGAUUUCAUUUCCUUGAGCCUCACCUCAAAUAUCUUCUUAUCAUUAUAUUCCACCAAAGGUAAAAGGCCAGCUUUGGUGAAAUGCUCAGAGACAGCUUCAGGCGUCCUCUUAGUAGAGGGGAAGAACUCGAGAAGAUCAUCCUCCAUCUUACCCCGCUUAAGGAUUGAGAUCAAAUCAUCAAUACUGUUGUCAAUCAGAUAUUCCUUAAAAAAGUCUGUGAUGAAAGAGAGAACUAGCCCUUUGGCGACAAGGUUAUCUUUGAGUAAUGGCUGGAGAACAGUCUCUGGGGGAAGGCCUGACAGCUUCUGGGAAAAAGCAAGGGCUGUAAAGAUUGAGAGCUUAAUCCUUUCAUUUUCCUCAAAGAGCUCCAAUGACUGCAACAUUUUUCGCAUGACAUUUUCAAGGUUCUUUAUAAGAAACGGCCUCCUUCUUAAUAUCUUCUGCACAUAGAUGACAGAUGGCAAAAUGGCUUCACGUUUAGGUUCACACUCAAUCACAGAGUAAGGGUGGCGCUCCCCUUCAUCAAGUUUGACUGUUCCAGGUUGUGUACGGCCUCCAAUGAAGACAACCUCGAAAAAGGUAUCACCGUAUCUUGAG